rnacentral:rRNA from 1 species
CCUACGGGUGGCAGCAGUGAGGAAUAUUGGUCAAUGGACGAGAGUCUGAACCAGCCAAGUAGCGUGAAGGAUGACUGCCCUAUGGGUUGUAAACUUCUUUUAUAAAGGAAUAAAACGAGGCACGUGUGCCUUUUUGCAUGUACUUUAUGAAUAAGGAUCGGCUAACUCCGUGCCAGCAGCCGCGGUAAUACGGAGGAUCCGAGCGUUAUCCGGAUUUAUUUGGUUUAAAGGGAGCGUAGAUGGGUUGUUAAGUCAGUUGUGAAAGUUUGCGGCGCAACCGUAAAAUUGCAAUUGAUACUGGCAGUCUUGAGUACAGUUGAGGUAGGCGGAAUUCGUGGUGUAGCGGUGAAAUGCUUAGAUAUCACAAAGAACCCCGAUUGCGAAGGCAGCUUACUAAACUGUGACUGACAUUGAUGCUCGAAAGUGUGGGUAUCAAACAGGAUUAGAUACCCUUGUAGUC